rnacentral:lncRNA from 1 species
UAAAAUUUUUUCCAAUUUUGCAAGUGUCUCUAACAUUGUUCAAUCUUUACAACCGGACAACAAGAAUUUAAAAGCGUUGUGAAAUUCAGUGAAAAGUUUGACAAAUUGAUUGAUUUCUUAAAAUACCGAUUGUAUUGUAUCUAAAUGUUAGUUCUAGUAAAAAACUAAGUUGAAUUAUCAGUAAAAUAUGAAAAAAACACCAA